rnacentral:rRNA from 1 species
AGCUGAUCACUGGGUUUAAAGCGUGCGCAGGCGGUUUUGUAAGACAGAGGUGAAAUCCCCGGGCUCAACCUGGGAACUGCCUUUGUGACUGCAAGGCUGGAGUGCGGCAGAGGGGGAUGGAAUUCCGCGUGUAGCAGUGAAAUGCGUAGAUAUGCGGAGGAACACCGAUGGCGAAGGCAAUCCCCUGGGCCUGCACUGACGCUCAUGCACGAAAGCGUGGGGAGCAAACA